GCCAACUGCUCUCUCUCUCUCUCUCUCUCUCUCUCUCUCUCUCUCUGUGUGUGUGUGUGUGUGAGAGAGAGAGAGAGAGAGAGAGAGAGAGAGGGAGAGAGAGAGAGACUGACUGG